rnacentral:rRNA from 1 species
UACGUAGGUGGCGAGCGUUGUCCGGAUUUACUGGGCGUAAAGGGAGCGUAGGCGGACUUUUAAGUGAGAUGCGAAAUACUCGGGCUCAACUUGAGUGCUCCAUUUCAAACUGGAAGUCUAGAGUGCAGGAGAGGAGAAUGGAAUUCCUAGUGUAGCGGUGAAAUGCGUAGAGAUUAGGAAGAACACCAGUGGCGAAGGCGAUUCUCUGGACUGUAACUGACGCUGAGGCUCGAAAGCGUGGGGAGCAAACAGG